rnacentral:lncRNA from 1 species
GGGAGAAAGGCAGGGAGGGGGAGACAGAAUAGCAAGCAAAAAGUGUCCAGCUUGGGAAGCAGCUCUGAGAUCAGGUCAGUAGGACAAACCAGAAAUGGAGUCUGGUUAGGCGGAUCCUGUUACUGGGUAGGGAAGCAAGACUGUAAAUACAUAUAUACAAAUGUAUAUAUAGCAGAUUGUCAGUUGGUGCUAGAGUCCUGCUGUCACCCCGGUUCCAGGCAGAGUCCAGCCUGUAAGUUGGUGCUAGAGUUCUGCUGUCACACCGGUUCCAGAGUCCAGCCUGACAGUUGGUGCUAGAGUUCUACUGUCACCCCGGUUCCAGAGUCCAGCCUGACAGUUGGUGCUAGAGUUCUGCUGUUUCCCCGGUUCCAGGCAGAGUCCAGCCUGUAAGUUGGUGCUAGAGUUCUGCUAUCUCUCUGGUUCCAGAGUCCAGCCUGUCAGUUGGUGCUAGAGUUCUGCUCUCUCUCUGGUUCCAGAGUCCAGUCUGUCAGUUGGUGCUAGAGUUCUGCUGU